rnacentral:rRNA from 1 species
UACGUAGGCGGAAAAUUAAGUCAGUAGUGAAAUCCUGCAGCUUAACUGUAGAAUUGUUAUUGUUACUGGUUUUCUUGAAUAUAGUUGAGGUAGGCGGAAUGUGUAAUGUAGCGGUGAAAUGCUUAGAUAUUACACAGAACACCGAUUGCGAAGGCAGCUUACUAAGCUAUGAUUGACGCUGAGGUACGAAAGCGUGGGGAGCGAACAGGAUUAGAUACCCUGGUAGUCC